GAGCACUCUAGACGAACUGCCGUUGACAAAACGGAGGAAGGUGGGGAUGACGUCAAAUCAUCAUGCCCCUUAUGUUCUGGGCUACACACGUGCUACAAUGGCCGGUACAGACGGAGGCGAAGCCGCGAGGCGGAGCAAAUCCGAAAAAGCCGGUCUCAGUUCGGAUUGCAGGCUGCAAUUCGCCUGCAUGAAGUCGGAAUCGCUAGUAAUCGCAGGUCAGCAUACUGCGGUGAAUACGUUCCCGGGCCUU
rnacentral:rRNA from 1 species